rnacentral:rRNA from 1 species
UCGGGAAUAUUGCGCAAUGGAGGAAACUCUGACGCAGUGACGCCGCGUAUAGGAAGAAGGUUUUCGGAUUGUAAACUAUUGUCGUUAGGGAAGAGAAAGGACGGUACCUAAGGAGGAAGCUCCGGCUAACUACGUGCCAGCAGCCGCGGUAAUACGUAGGGAGCGAGCGUUAUCCGGAAUUAUUGGGUGUAAAGGGUGCGUAGACGGGAAGAUAAGUUAGUUGUGAAAUCCCUCGGCUUAACUGAGGAACUGCAACUAAAACUGUUUUCUUGAGUGCAGGAGAGGUAAGUGGAAUUCCUAGUGUAGCGGUGAAAUGCGUAGAUAUGACGAAGAACUCCGAUUGCGAAGGCAGCUGACGGGUGCGUAACUGACGCUCAUGCUCGAAAGUGCGGGUAUCGAACAGGAUUAGAUACCCUGGUAGU